rnacentral:misc_RNA from 1 species
AACGCACAUUGCGCCCCUUGGUAUUCCGAGGGGCAUGCCUGUUCGAGCGUCAUUAUAACCAAUCAAGCCCAGCUUGGUGUUGGGGUUCGCGGUUGCGCGGCCCUUAAAAUCAGUGGCGGUGCCGCCCGGCUCUAAGCGUAGUAACUUUCUCGCUAUGGGGUCCGGGUGGUCUCCUCCAGAACUCCCCCAUCUUACGGUUGACCUCGGAUCAGGUAGGGAUACCCGCUGAACUUAA